GGCACGUCUCUCUACCCCUCUCCAGAAGUAUCUCGCACCGCCAGCUCUCUUCCUCUCCCUUCUUUCUUUCUCCAGCUCGAGCGUGCGCGAGCAGAGCAGAGCCAUGGUUGCCGCCCGACCCCCCACGCCGAGCCGCCGUCUGAGCUCGCCCCGACCUCCACCAACGCUCCAGGCGCACUCACCACCUCCUAUGGCACCUCCCCGAAUUGCCAGACCGCCGCUCCGGCCACCAUCUUACCGGAACAGAACCCGCCGCCGCCGCCCAGACCACCCGCACUUCGAGCUCCCUUCCCCGGUUCUCCUCCGCCCAAACCGACCCUCGGAAUGGGUCGCUCUCGACUUGCUGAUGCUCACCGGCCUACCCACCGCCGCCCUCCCUCGCCAGAACACCGCUGCACGCCGCGCCGAGCGCCGCCUCUCACUGCUCCCGCCGUCGGCGCCUCUCCGAUCAUCUCCGACCCCGACCGAGCGCACCACCAGAAUCCGUAGCGGAGGGCGUCGUCUAUGAGUUGGUUGUGAAGCCCAGGAGCUAGCGGAGCAUGCCAGGAAGAAGUUCAUUUCACAUGCACUCAUGUAGAAUCCCGGAGCAUGCCAGGAAGAAGUUCAUCUCACAUGCACUCAUGUAGAAUCCGUAGCGGAGGACGUCGUCUAUGAGUUGGUUGUGAAGCCCAGGAGCUAGCGGAGCAUGCCAGGAAGAAGUUCGUGAAGACCCGGCCCAAGGCUGCAAGUAAUACUAACCUUGCUCAGCAAAAAGGCAAGCCCCGGUGCAUAUCCUAUUAUUUGAAAUUAUGACACCUAUAUAUGUAUUUAUUACUUGUGCAUUACGUUUCAGGAGUUGAUUGGAACCCUAGUUGUAUGAUCCAUAGGUUUUCCUGAAUUAUACUAGCAUGUAUAGGACGAUAGAAAUGCUAUGCCUAAUACUUCUCGAUAGAAGUCGAGUGACUUUUUGCACUCGCGAGAUAUAUGAUACUUAGAAGUCGAGUAAUUUCCGGUUACUCGCGAGAUAUAGGUUAUAUACUUAUAAAUAGUACAUGAGUUGUUGAAAUUGACAUGGAAAUAUGAGACCGGGCGGGGAAUGAUGAUGAUGUAUAGGUAUGACAGUAGGACAGGGUUCCUGGGUGUCUUAGCCCCGUCCGAGUCGAUUGAGGACCGUACCGUUGUUGGCCCUGCUGAUCAUGUUUGAAUUGUACAAACCGCAUACCGGGAGUAGGAGGUAGUCGAAACCGGUAAGCCGAGUACUGCCUUGCUUCGAAAGUACAGGAACCCGCACCCAACUCCUGGGGUAGUUGAGUAGUCGCGGAGAAAUGUGGAUGCAUAUGUUUACUUUUGGUGGUCUCACGUUGAGCUCGGCUGACCAUAUAUCGUUGGGCUGGUUCCUGUAGUUCGAGGCGGGGAGUGGAAUGGUUGGUCCGUAUGGUCCGACGGGGCUAAUACGUGCCGUGUUGGUUAGGUCCACCUUGCAAGGUUAAAUCGGAUCGAUUCGUCUUCAGUCGCUCUCGGACAUGAGCACCUUGAUCUCCGAGUCACAUCGUAGUAAGGAAAUGAAACGAAAUGAUAUGAUACAUGUUGAUGUUAUUGAAUCAUUUAUGUUUUCACAUUGAUUGUUAUAGAUCUGCAAAUCAUAGAUGUGUACCAACUUUAUAACUAUAAUUUGGAGCUAAAAUUUUGAAAUUAAGGAUCUACCCUUAGAUGUUUUUCUGCAAAUAAAUCCACCAGCCAGAAAGCUUUGCAUGUCUAGAUAUGUGAGCUAAGUAUACCCAAAAGUCGGGUAAGUCUUGCUGAGUAUUAGUAUACUCAGGGUUUGUUGUUUACCCUGUUUCGGGUAUAGAAGCUAACCAGGAUUCGCAUCAGUGGGCUCGAUGUGACGUCCUCACGUAUUCAUAGUUAUCGUUUUGUUUUAUUGGUUGUCAAUCAAAUUUACUUCUCUCAGGUCAUAUUUUCUUCCGCUGCUGUCAUUUAUUUUAUGUAAAUUCUAAAUUUAAAGUUGUUUUUGUAAAUAUUUAUGUUAUUAUUUAUUUUUGUGAAAUUAUAUUAUGCUGGUACC